UACGGAGGGAGCUAGCGUUGUUCGGAAUUAUUGGGCGUAAAGAGCGUGUAGGCGGCCAGGUAGGUCUGCUGUGAAAACUCGAGGCUCAACCUCGAGACGUCGGCGGAAACCAUCUGGCUAGAGUCCGGAAGAGGAGAGUGGAAUUCCUGGUGUAGCGGUGAAAUGCGCAGAUAUCAGGAAGAACACCCGUGGCGAAGGCGGCUCUCUGGGACGGUACUGACGCUGAGACGCGAAAGCGUGGGGAGCGAACAGG
rnacentral:rRNA from 1 species